AAAUGCUCCCGUUCCUUGGCAGAACCCAAUCUCAGGGUCGUUUCUGAAGGCUCUUAGCAAAGCCCUUGGUAAAGACCUGCAAAGCAGACUUCCCUGCACCCAGCAGUCACUUUCAUCGUCAUGGAAACCAGGGUCUCAUUCCUGCUUAUCAAGUAAUUGAUGGGAGAAGCUGAAAGGGGCAAGAGUGAAGAUACAGUCUGAGAUUUAUGUCGUGUAUGAAACUAUCAGCCACGGAGAGAGGCAUGUUGUAUUGGAGUCGCUUGGCCCUAUCGGCAUGGUCUUCUCCGGGAAUCCUUAACCAGAAGCAAGGGGGCUUGCGUUCUCUUGGACCGUGGUUGAGUCGUCAGCAAGCCAUGGCUUGGAGUUUCCCUGUUACCUUUGGGAGCAAGGUUGCAGAGCACUGGUGAAGAGCUGGUUGCCCAGCAGGAGCAGGAGAGCAGCUGGUGUCAAAUGCUGGAGUCCACAUUCUGUCUUGUAAUCGUUGUGUGGAUUUUGAUAUUA